GAGUCUGUCACUGCGGCAGCGAGUCUUGCGCAGAUUGGAGCCGGCGGGAGAUGCCCGACGCCUCCGCCUGAGGAGCGGGCAGUGACGCGAUGGAGCGAGCAAGGGAUUGCUUACAUUUGAGACGGACUACAGAACAGUAUGUGCCAGAGGUGAAAGUCCAAGUCAAACGCAGAAGGACAGUCUCACUGAGCAACCAAGAGUGUCAGUUGUAUCCAAGGCGUUCUCAGCAACAGCAAGUACCUGUGCUGGAUUUCCAAGCGGAACUGAGACAGGCAUUCUUAGCUGAGACACCAAGAGGUGGUUCAAGGAGUAUUGGAACAACAAGGAAGCUGACUCAGCAAAAAUCAGGCUCCAUCUAAUGUUUGAAGCUUCUGCCCAACUUGCAUUAUUUCUAGGAGAACCUGCGUCAUACCUUUAUCUGUAGCCUUCCCCUAGGUCUUAAGAAACAUGAAAUUUUAACAGUGGACGUUGGAUUUGGUGGAACAGCAAUCAUGACUGUGGGCAAGGGUAGCAAGAUGUUGCAGCACAUUGACUAUAGAAUGAGAUGUAUUCUGCAAGAUGGUCAAAUCUUCAUUGGCACCUUUAAGGCUUUUGACAAGCAUAUGAAUUUGAUCCUCUGUGACUGUGAUGAGUUCAGGAAGAUCAAGCCAAAGAAUGUGAAGCAGCCAGAGCGUGAAGAAAAGCGGGUUUGGGGUUUGGUGUUGCU